UCUCUAUAAAAUCCGCAGUCUUUUGUUCAAUUAAUCUACUCUAUCAAAUCAAUCAAGCAUGGACAUCUUAUGUGCUAUUUGCAAAUCAUGGAAGCGUAUACUUUCACUCGUACUGCCAUACAAACAGCCGGAAACACCACCACCGGUACUUGAAGAAUCUUCGUGGCAAAGUGGUCUUCGUAAGCAUCUUUCUAUACCCAAGAAACAGAAGUGGACAGAGACAAUAAACCCACCAUUCCCAUGGGCCACUUGCAAACGUGCCAAAGUUUAUACCAUUCACCAAUUGCUAUCUGAGGCACGGGCGGAGGCAGCGUGAAACAAGGUGUGGCAUAUGCCACACCAGUUUCUAAUAUUUUUUUUUUUUUAUUUUUUUUUUUUUUUUUUAUAUGCAUAAUUCUAAAAGGCCUGGCACGGGGAGAAGGAAUUGAAAAUUGAAAACCAAACACUUUUCUUUUCCUAUUCUCCUCUUCUCCUUCUCUUCUCAUUCAUUCUACUCUCCUCUUCUCCUCUUCUCAAAAAUCACAAUUCACAAUCAAUAAAUCAAAUAUCUUCUUACAACAAACAAACAAACCUCUCCUUCCACUCUCAUCAGUCAACAACAUAAUUUUCUCUCUUCACUCUAAGUCUAAGCCAAGGAUGAAGAAAUUCUUCCCUGUGUUGAACGUGUUUUUUCAGCUAUGAAUAUUGUGAUCAAUGGUUAAAUGAUCGGCUUGUAACUUUUAUUGAAAGAGAUGUUCUUUUCACAAUUAGCACUGAUGUUAUUCUAGCUCAUUUUCAACAAAUGGAUGGCAGACGAUUUUCAUUGUAAUUUAACAAAUGUAUGGUUAAAUGUUUAUAUAUUAUUUUUA